GAUGAACGCUGGCGGCGUGCCUAAUACAUGCAAGUCGAGCGAAUGGAUUAAGAGCUUGCUCUUAUGAAGUUAGCGGCGGACGGGUGAGUAACACGUGGGUAACCUGCCCAUAAGACUGGGAUAACUCCGGGAAACCGGGGCUAAUACCGGAUAACAUUUUGAACCGCAUGGUUCGAACUUGAAAGGCGGCUUCGGCUGUCACUUAUGGAUGGACCCGCGUCGCAUUAGCUAGUUGGUGAGGUAACGGCUCACCAAGGCAACGAUGCGUAGCCGACCUGCGAGGGUGAUCGGCCACACUGGGACUGAGACACGGCCCAGACUCCUACGGGAGGCAGCAGUAGGGAAUCUUCCGCAAUGGACGAAAGUCUGACGGAGCAACGCCGCGUGAGUGAUGAAGGCUUUCGGGUCGUAAAACUCUGUUGUUAGGGAAGAACAAGUGCUAGUUGAAUAAGCUGGCACCUUGACGGUACCUAACCAGAAAGCCACGGCUAACUACGUGCCAGCCGCCGCGGUAA
rnacentral:rRNA from 1 species